AAGUCGUAACAAGGUUUCCGUAGGUGAACCUGCGGAAGGAUCAUUAUCGAAUAUUCUUGAUGGGUUGUAGCUGGCUCUUCGGAGCAUGUGCACGCUUGUCUUGACUUUAUUCAUCCACCUGUGCACCUUUUGUAGUCUUGUGGGCUGAGAGCAGGUCGACUAUCGGAUGGCUUUAAGGCCUUUCCGGAUGUGAGAAAUGCUGAGUGCGAAAGCAUACAGCUCUUCUCAAAUGACAUGCAUAACCUCUCCCUCAAGUACUAUGUCUUCAUAUACCACAUAGUAUGUUGUAGAAUGUGAUCAAUGGGCCUAUGUGCCUAUAAUAAUCAUAUACAACUUUCAGCAACGGAUCUCUUGGCUCUC
rnacentral:misc_RNA from 1 species